CUCUUUCUCAUCUUUGUAUCAAUUUUAUGUGUAGUUUUGCUUUAUCCUAUGCUCCAUUCUAGAUAAAUAAUGAUAAGAAAUCUCUAUUUACGUGGGUGAUUGGGUGCAUGGCUGGGGUACAGCUGGGUACAAGGCUUACGUGGGUUACUAUUGUUUUGUGUUUUAUUGAAUUAGUCAAUUAAUAACGUAAUGGGGAAUAGGAGUUGCUGAAAGCAUUCCUAGUCUUCAGCUCCACUACUGGAGUCCCGGUUAUUUUGAAUUAUUGUUGUAUUGAGGUAGCCUAUUUAGGUUCACGUUUUCUGUAUUGAAAAGGGGACAUUGAAUAAACAAAAAUACUCUCCAAAACCUCUGUUCUUCUUCUUUCCUUAUCUUCCCAAAUUCUUUUCUUAUCAUAUAAUCAGAACUUUCUUAAUCCAUCAGCCUCCUUCUCAUCUUUGUUAUAGGUGCAGGUUCUGUGACUGCCUUUUUGCUCCUGUAGAUCAUCUACUCUCCAGGAUUGAUUGAACUAAUCUUUUUGAAGAGAUGAGAAUGGGUUCUAAGGAUUAGCUGGGUGCUUUCAAAGUUGUAGUUUUUUCUACAAUCUGGAUCAAGCGAGAAGCAAUUUAAGCUCUUUUUUAAGCAACUAAGGAAUAAUGUUUAGCACACAGAGUGUAAUUUUUAAUUGAAGUGGAGAUUUGAAAAUCAUAAGGAAAUAAACGUAUGACCAAACACAGAGUGUAAUUUUUUUUUUUUUU